UACGUAGGGACCAAGCGUUGUUCGGAUUUACUGGGCGUAAAGGGCGCGUAGGCGGCGUGACAAGUCACUUGUGAAAUCUCUGGGCUUAACCCAGAACGGCCAAGUGAAACUGUUGUGCUAGAGUGCAGAAGGGGCAAUCGGAAUUCUCGGUGUAGCGGUGAAAUGCGUAGAUAUCGAGAGGAACACCUGUGGCGAAAGCGGCGCACUGGACCACAACUGACGCUGAGGCGCGAAAGCUAGGGGAGCAAACAGG
rnacentral:rRNA from 1 species